rnacentral:rRNA from 1 species
UACGUAGGGGGCUAGCGUUGUCCGGAAUCAUUGGGCGUAAAGCGCGUGUAGGCGGUCCGGUAAGUCCGCUCUGAAAGUCCGGGGCUCAACCCCGGGAGGCGGGCGGAUACUGUCGGGCUAGAGUCCGGAAGAGGCGAGUGGAAUUCCUGGUGUAGCGGUGAAAUGCGCAGAUAUCAGGAGGAACACCAAUGGCGAAGGCAGCUCGCUGGGACGGUACUGACGCUGAGGCGCGAAAGCGUGGGGAGCAAACAGG